rnacentral:rRNA from 1 species
GACGAACGCUGGCGGCGUGCUUAACACAUGCAAGUCGAACGAUGAAGAAAAGAAUCGAAGCUUCGGCAGAAAUUCAUUUCGGAUUAGUGGCAGACGGGUGAGUAACGCGUGAGCAACCUACCUCUUACAAAGGGAUAGCCUCGGGAAACCGGGAUUAAUUCCAUAUAACAUUGCGACGAAGCAUUUCGAUGCAAUCAAAGCUACGGCGGUAAGAGAUGGGCUCGCGUCCCAUUAACCGGAUGGUGAGGUAACGGCUCACCAUAGUGACGAUGGGUAACCGGCCUGAGAGGGUGAACGGUCACACUGGAACUGAGGCACGGUCCAGACUCCUACGGGAGGCAGCAGUGGGGAAUAUUGCACAAUGGAGGGAACUCUGAUGCAGCGACGCCGCGUGAGUGAUGAAGGAAUUCGUUUCGUAAAACUCUGUUCUAUGGGAAGAAAAGGACUGUACCAUAGGAGAAAGCUCCGGCUAAAUACGUG